CGAUUGGUCUGUACCAACAUUGGCUGGACUCUUCUGCUGACCCUGAAGCAGCUCCACAGGCCUGGAUGUUCCUGAAGUCACUUCCUGAGGCACGGAGGCGAUGCUUGUGGCAAAGGUGUGAUUCGAGAUGCUCAAAGUAGUCAUAUACCACCAAGGGAGAACCAGGGGGAUGGCUCACUUGGUUAAAGUGCUUGUCAGACAAGUAUGGGACCUGGAUACCCCAGGACCGUGUGGAAACAAAAUCAGGAUGAUGCCGUUCACAUUAAGGGUGCGUCUUCCCUUCUGAG
rnacentral:lncRNA from 1 species